GACGAACGCUGGCGGCGUGCCUAAUACAUGCAAGUAGAACGCAGUUGCGAACGGGUGAGUAACGCGUAGGUAACUGCCUGGUAGCGGGGGAUAACUAUUGGAAACGAUAGCUAAUACCGCAUACUACCAGAUGGACCUGCGUUGUAUUAGCUAGUGGGGGAGGUAACGGCUCACCAAGGCAACGAUACAUAGCCGAGCGUGGGGGGUGAGCUGCCAACCCGGGACUGAGACACGGCCCAGACCCCUACGGGAGGCCUCAGUAGGGAAUCUUCGGAAAUGGGGGGAACCCUGACCGGGCAACGCCGCGUGAGUGAAGAAGGUUUUCGGAUCGUAAAGCUCUGUUGUUAAGGAAGCGGUACUUAACCAGAAAGGGACGGCUAACUACGUGCCAGCCGCCGCGGUAAUAC
rnacentral:rRNA from 1 species